rnacentral:lncRNA from 1 species
UAAAUUCACUUACCUGGUUUUGCAAAGAUGCAAUUAUUUUUCUAUUUUUCUCAGAAGCAACUUAGGGAGAACUAACUGUUCACUAUUCUCGUUGUUGAUGUAGUUAUGACACCAGUGCUAAAAUUUCAACCUGAAUACAUGUUUCUUUAUAAAUUCACUUACCUGGUUUUGCGAAGAUGCAAUCAUUUUUCUAUUUUUCUCGGAAGCAACUUAGGGAGAACUAAGCUGUUCACUAUUCUCUUUGCUGAUGUAGUUAUACUGUAAAAGUAAAUUGUCACCUGCGCUAAAAUUUCAACCUGAAUAUACUUUUUCUUUAUAAAUUCACUUACCUGGUUUUGCAAAGAUUCAAUUAUUUUUCUAUUUUUCUCGGAAGCAACUUAGGGAGAACUAAACUGUUCACUAUUCUUUUUGCUGAUGUAGUUAUACUGUAAAAGUAAAUUGACACCUGGGCUACAUUGAGACACUGUCAAAAUUAUAUCCUUGAGAUUGGAACAGAUUCUGUAUGUCAGUAACUAUAAUGCGAUG